GAUGAACGCUGGCGGCGUGCCUAAUACAUGCAAGUCGAGCGAACGGGCGAGAAGCUUGCUUCUCUGAUGUUAGCGGCGGACGGGUGAGUAACACGUGGAUAACCUACCUAUAAGACUGGGAUAACUUCGGGAAACCGGAGCUAAUACCGGAUAAUAUUUUGAACCGCAUGGUUCAAAAGUGAAAGACGGUCUUGCUGUCACUUAUAGAUGGAUCCGCGCUGCAUUAGCUAGUUGGUAGGGUAACGGCUUACCAAGGCAACGAUGCAUAGCCGACCUGAGAGGGUGAUCGGCCACACUGGACCUGAGACCCGGUCCAGACUCCUACGGGAGGCAGCAGUAGGGAAUCUUCCGCAAUGGGCGAAAGCCUGACGGAGCAACGCCGCGUGAGUGAUGAAGGUCUUCGGAUCGUAAAACUCUGUUAUUAGGGAAGAACAUAUGUGUAAGUAACUGUGCACAUCUUGACGGUACCUAAUCAGAAAGCCACGGCUAACUACGU
rnacentral:rRNA from 1 species